AUAGACACUGCUAAUGCCAGAAAUAACUGGCAUUCUUACUUUUAAAGGAAAAAAGCAA
rnacentral:tRNA from 1 species